rnacentral:lncRNA from 1 species
UCAAUCUAAGGAAUCACCUAUGGAUUCUAUGAUGGUAGAGGCUUAUAUUAUAUUAUAUUAUAUUAUAUUAUAUUAUUUAUUUAUUUAUUUAUGAACUUAAAUUAUAAUUUAAAUAAAUAAAUAAAUAUAAAUGGAAAGAAGGGAAGAUGGCAGAUCUCUCGUGUCCUUCCUUCAUCUCUGGCUUGCAUCCGGUGGCCACCAAGGCAAGCUGCUCACAUCCUCCCCCACCGGCAGCCACCCGUUGGCCCCCAAAAUAAAAUAUAAAUAAGUCAAUAAGAGGGUAAAAAGAAAGUCAAAAGAAGAAGAGGGUCGAAGGUGCUCUGAUUUCUUGUAGUCGUGCACUCC